GCGCCAGACUCCUACGGGAGGCAGCAGUGGGGAAUAUUGCACAAUGGGGGGAACCCUGAUGCAGCGACGCCGCGUGGGUGAAGAAGUCGUUCGUGACGUAAAGCCCUAUCAGCAGGGAAGAAAAUGACGGUACCUGACUAAGAAGCCCCGGCUAACUACGUGCCAGCAGCCGCGGGAAUACGUAGGGGGCAAGCGUUAUCCGGAUUUACUGGGUGUAAAGGGGGCGCAGACGGCAGCGCAAGCCAGGAGUGAAAGCCCGGGGCCCAACCCCGGGACUGCUCUUGGAACUGCGCGGCUGGAGUGCAGGAGGGGCAGGCGGAAUUCCUGGUGUAGCGGUGAAAUGCGUAGAUAUCAGGAGGAACACCGGUGGCGAAGGCGGCCUGCUGGACUGCGACUGACGUUGAGGCCCGAAAGCGUGGGGAGCAAACAGGAUUAGAUACCCCUGUAAA
rnacentral:rRNA from 1 species